UACAGAGGGUGCGAGCGUUGUCCGGAAUCACUGGGCGUAAAGGGCGCGUAGGCGGCUUGAUAAGCGUGCGGUGAAAGCCCGGGGCUCAACCCCGGGUCGGCCGUGCGAACUGUCGAGCUGGAGCACUGUAGAGGCAGGUGGAAUUCCGGGUGUAGCGGUGGAAUGCGUAGAGAUCCGGAAGAACACCGGUGGCGAAGGCGGCUCUCUGGACCGUAACUGACGCUGAGGCGCGAAAGCGUGGGGAGCAAACAGG
rnacentral:rRNA from 1 species